rnacentral:rRNA from 1 species
CCUACGGGAGGCAGCAGUGAGGAAUAUUGGACAAUGGGCGCAAGCCUGAUCCAGCCAUGCCGCGUGCAGGAAGAAGCAUCUAUGGUGUGUAAACUGCUUUUGUACAGGAAGAAACACUCCCUCGUGAGGGAGCUUGACGGUACUGUAAGAAUAAGGAUCGGCUAACUCCGUGCCAGCAGCCGCGGUAAUACGGAGGAUCCAAGCGUUACCCGGAAUCAUUGGGUUUAAAGGGUCCGUAGGCGGUUUGAUAAGUCAGUGGUGAAAGCCCAUCGCUCAACGAUGGAACGGCCAUUGAUACUGUCAGACUUGAAUUACUAGGAAGUAACUAGAAUAUGUAGUGUAGCGAUGAAAUGCUUAGAUAUUACAUGGAAUACCAAUUGCGAAGGCAGGUUACUACUAGUGGAUUGACGCUGAUGGACGAAAGCGUGGGGAGCGAACAGGAUUAGAUACCCUGGUAGUCCACGCCGUAAACGAUGGAUACUAGCUGUUGGGUGCAAACUCAGUGGCUAAGCGAAAGUGAUAAGUAUCCCACCUGGGGAGUACGUUNNCAAGAAUGAAACUCAAAUGAAUUGACGG